UACAGAGGUCUCGAGCGUUAGGCGGAAUCACUGGGCUUAAAGCGUGUGUAGGCGGAUCGUUAAGUACCUUGUGAAAUCCCACGGCUUAACCGUGGAACUGCUUGGUAUACUGGCGGUCUUGAGCCAGCUAGGGGCUACCGGAACAAAUGGUGGAGCGGUGAAAUGCGUAGAUAUCAUUUGGAACGCCAAUGGUGAAAACAGACUGCUGGGGCUGUGCUGACGCUGAGACACGAAAGCCAGGGGAGCGAACGGG
rnacentral:rRNA from 1 species